UUCUCCUUCCCUUUUAGUGAUUUUACUAGAAAACAGACGUCCCUGUUUAGAAGCCAGUCGAUCGCCUAGUGUCAUCACCCUGCCUGCUGGCUGGGCAGGAUAACUCCUCAGGUCACCACCCCCAUGUCCUGCCUGCCUUGGGCUUGGGGAGUGAGGAGGAGGGCGAGAGACGACACUGAACAUCCUCCAUCCAUCGCUCCAUCACCUAGAGCAAGAUGGCCGGGCUCCUGAGGAUGUUCAGGAAGAAGGCUCUGCAGGUGAACCCAGAGCCUGAGGGAAGCAGCUGCCAUCUUCCCCGGUAGCGGAGCGGCCCCUCCUUCCCGGCCAGGUCAGGAGGUGGAAGUGCCCAGCCUUCUGGUGGAGAAAACCUGCUCCUGGUGCAGAUGCUGAGGUGGGAGAGGCCAGGGCGAAAUGGAGCUUCCUCAGGAUGCGGCUGGGCAGGCAGGACCCAGCGCAGGAGGGGAGCUGGGCAGAGUGGCUCUGGGGCUUGUUGUGUGGGAAGCACUGGCCCCAGCCCUGAUUCCGAGCAGGAGGCAUCGCCCUGCCCGGUCAGUGAGGACCUUCCAGCCUCCCCAGGGCAGGAGGUGGAGGAUCCCUGUCCCAGCACCAACAGCUUGGCCCGCUCCCCGUGGGACAGCAGCAGCGCCUGGGACUUGGGCAGCAGCGAGGCCGAUGGGCACGGCUGGUUUGUCCUAGGGACCCCCAGGGACUCGGAGGACGAGGAGGAGGAAUGGGUGGAUGUAGCCACAGAGGAGGCUGCUCCCAAUAACCUCCGAGAGCAGCUCCAGGGCUGAGAAAAGGAUGAGGCCCAGCAGCUCGUGUUCCUGCACGCCAUGCACCCUGCGUGUCUCGCUGUACAGCAGAGAGGGCAGGACACACUGGAGCCGCACUGCUGCAAGAUGGCUGAGGUGGAGAGGAUUGUGGCAGAACUUGAGGGGCUGAGAACUGGCUGGAACCGGUUGCGGGCAGGGCCUGUCAGCGGGCGCCUCAGAAAGGCGCACCACAGAGAGCGGAGACGGGACGGUCAGCGGUGACGCAGGGGCUAUCCCCCAUCGAGGCAGCCACGCCCAGCGUCUUUGCGCGGCAUCGGAUCAAGACUGUGGCUACUAACAUCUGUCAAGGACUCUGAUACUUACCUGACUCCUGUAAUCCACCAAAGGAGCCAGUGAAGGCUUUGCCGUCAGCUCAGAUCUGUGAUCUCCUGCUUCGGCAAUAAGAGAGCCAGACCCUCUGAUGUUCCAGGGAUCCUAAGACGAACCAUCCGUCGCCGGUGUCCUCCAUCUGCAGAUCUGCAUAGGGUCUUGCCAGACCUCCUGGACGCCAUGCUGGGGAACCUGCUGGCAGGGUCUCCAGACACCGGCCGGCUCCACUACAUCUUGGAGCACAUUAACUACCGGAUUGUGUCCAGGGUGUCGCAAGAGAGAGCCAGGGCUGUUAGGAGCAGCACAGCCCUGCUCAGAUCCACCAUCACCCUCCCUGAGUUUGAUAACUGAGCGGAAUUCCCCGGGAUGGGUUACCACGUGGCACAGCUGGCUCUGUCCAUCAGUGACCCAGCCAAGGACAUCAGCCGGCAGGCCAGGGAGGGGGUUUCCUGGCUGUACCAGCUGCUGCUGCACCAGAGGGGUAAGGAACCCAGCUGGGAAAUGGCACCCGCUGGAAGAGUGAGACUGGGACCCCAGCCAAUUUCUCUCAGACCAAGCCUGGCUGGAGGACGAUUCUCUCUUUAUCUCUUUCUGUGUUCUACACCACCCCCUGCCAUUGUGUUGGGCCAGGCACGCAGCGAGGACUCUGCCCACUGUGCAUCCACCAAUGGGAUUGGAAGGACACAAGCACUGCAACCAGAAUGACAAAUGUGUGUGUGUGUGUGUUUCUUUCACAGCCCUGAC